GCGAUCGUCAACUGGUCAGCUGUGGAGUCCUUAGGCAGCCUACCACCAGCGGCCUUCUUGCGCUUUGGAGAUUAUUUUAAUAGCUUAAGGCUAUUAAACUGUAAAGCUAGCGUGGAAAGGAGAUCAUAGGAUCGACGAAAACUAUCUCGACCUACGCCAAAACUGCUGAUCAGUCCUUUCAAGCCACCUUUAGUGUGGCGCAUAAACGAUUUCUUCUCGUUUUCAGCCCCUAGGCAAGGUAUCACAGUAUUUUAGAUAUAGGCCCUUAACUAGGUUAUCACUUGUUCGGCCUCUAAAUCCAUUGCACUUAGUUUAGUCAGGCUUUAUAACCUAAAGGCAUUUGUUUUAGAAUCAGACAACAUAAUUUUCCAUCUUUUUAGGAUCUUGAAACUUGGAAGCGAGCUUAGAACAUUAAAAUUUGUGUGGGAGAGCGAGAGAGUGAGAGAGCUUAUCCACAGCGCGGUUUAUGUACAUACAAAAACAACACCAAACAGCACAGCGUACAAACGCUGGGUUGUUUACAAAAUAUAAUCAUAAAGAAUUUAUUAUAAUUUUGCUACCGCAACUUAAAUUUGAAGCGCAGGAAAAAACACGUUCGCUUGCUUUGAAGCUAGGAAUGCUAUGACGAAUGUUAAGAGAACAUUUGAAGUAGCACAAGUUGCAACAAAAAGUACAAAAAAAAGAACAAUUUAUGUGCAUUGCAAGAAAUGAUAAGCAUCUACCAUCACCGCUUGAGAAAGUUUAAACCGUAUACCGUAGACCUUUUCUAUGACUAAAGAUAAUAAACAUUAAUAGUUACUAAACACAGAAAAAUCCUUUUGUGAAGCGUUUUUAUAAAUGUUACGACAAUGCUGUUAAAUGCUCUAAACCUUUAGACGAUCAAUUCAUCUUUAUUAAAUAGUGAAAUCUUUAAGAAAAAUAUGAAUAAUUUUUCUGACAAAAAACUUCUUCUCGACAAUCAAUUUGUUUAUCUGUCUACUUAGUAGACGUACUCUGGGGAAAUACAUAAUGUGGAGUAGAAGGAAUUUUAUUAUCUGUAGGAGACGUGUAGCCUAAGACGAAGUACUGCAUGGUAGGUACACUUUCGUUAACCCGGGUCUUGAGAUAACUUUCUUUUAAGCGAAAAAAUACUCCGUUUUGCAACUUCAAUUGAGUUGCCUAACCCAUUGAAAUCAGAUUUAAGCUGUGGCCAUACUUCAAUGCGACCUGAUUGCAAAUUUUCAAAUUGUAAAAUUUUAUUGUAUAUGGCAGGGUCUCCACUGACAAAAACUUUUCUAUUGCACUGUCAAUUUAUUCUUACCGCUCUGAUACUAACCGCAGUGAAGGGACUUUUGAUGAGAUUAAAAAAGAGAGAGAUUGGACCGGUACCUAAUAAAAUCUGCUUCUAUUAAUAUCUCUAUUUCUUGCGAAUGGUGUUGCCUCGAUAGUUGCGCUGUUCAGCCUAUCCCGUUAAUUGUGGCAUGCUUUCAUUAACUUCGGCCUUGGCCUACUUUUGUGUACUUCAGGUCUUCCUUGGCCCUGGCGCAUGCUCAAAGCGCAGAAUUCUUGUUUGCUAGCUUUUUGUCUCAGUUGCCUUCCGCUUUCGCCUGUCGCUGAAGCGAUUGACUUGUUCCGUCCAUUUUUGGGCUCUGAUGAUCCUGCCGUUUUCUUCCUUCUGAUUUAGGUCGCUGAUGUGCACGGUACCGUUUCGAAUAAUUGCUGUUCAUUGGAUUCAGACUGCUGAAUUGAAGAACGGCAUCCGAUUUUGCCACACCAAUGUGUUGCCUGCUAACUCCUUUGUUCUUUGUACGGUGGUCAAAUUCCUCGCGGCUAUAAACGCAACGUCGAUGGAGCUGAAAGGUGACGCAGAAACACAUCAAAACAAUUACCAAAGGAAUACUGCUGCCUAAUUGUGGCUUCAUGCAAACUCCCUCCUUAAGGUGCACAAUGUGCUGGAGAUUUUUCAGGCUUAACAAUUUAUAAAUUACAUCUAAAGCUUCGCGGCUCAUUAAGUUUACUUUUGCUUUUAUUAUUAAGAACAUUACAUUUUCAGAUCAUUUUUUAUAAAUUUGACUAAUUUGACUAAUAUUGUUUUAUGUAGUCCUAACCCCAAAUAAAAUAAUAAACGAAAAA